UACAGAGGGGGCAAGCGUUGUUCGGAAUUACUGGGCGUAAAGGGCGCGUAGGCGGCCUGUGAAGUCGAACGUGAAAUCCCCGGGCUCAACCCGGGAACUGCGUCCGAUACUGGCAGGCUUGAAUCCGGGAGAGGGAUGCGGAAUUCCAGGUGUAGCGGUGAAAUGCGUAGAUAUCUGGAGGAACACCGGUGGCGAAGGCGGCAUCCUGGACCGGCAUUGACGCUGAGGCGCGAAAGCCAGGGGAGCAAACGGG
rnacentral:rRNA from 1 species